rnacentral:rRNA from 1 species
AGCGAACGCUGGCGGCAGGCCUAACACAUGCAAGUCGAGCGCCCCGCAAGGGGAGCGGCAGACGGGAGAGUAACACGUGGGAACGUACCCUUUGGUUCGGAACAACCCAGGGAAGCUUGGCUAAUACCGGAUAAGCCCUUACGGGGAAAGAUUCAUCGCCGAAGAAUCGGCCCGCGUCUGAUUAGCUAGUUGGUGGGGUAACGGCCCCCCAAGGCGACGAUCAGUAGCUGGUCUGAGAGGAUGAUCAGCCUCACUGGGGCUGAGACACGGACCAGACUCCUACGGGAGGCAGCAGUGGGGAAUAUUGGACAAUGGGGGCAAGCCUGAUCCAGCCAUGCCGCGUGGGUGAUGAAGGCCCUAGGGUUGUAAAGCCCUUUCGGCGGGGAAGAUAAUGACGGUACCCGCAGAAGAAGCCCCGGCUAACUUCGUGCCAGCCGCCGCCGUAA